GCUUGCAAAACAAAGGGAAUAAAACGAAAAGGAAAAAUUACAACACGUGUUGGGUGUCCUAGGCAUACAGGAUUCCCAGGAGCACUCCUUCCAAUUCAAAAGUCCCGCUUUUUAAACAUUCUUAAGGUUCAACCCUGUUUACGUCAUAGAAGAGGCGUUCUCCUCUCCCUGACUGGCUGUGUCGUGCUGGGAGGUGGAGUGUCCAGCAGCACGGCGGCUUCCAGGACCAGCCACGUGGCAUAAGGGGUUUCCUUACCAAUAUUCAUUUUACAGUUCCCUAUUCCCGUCCUCAUGUUUCCCUGGCACUGGUUCCAGGCUGAAUCCGGCGUCUUACAACUCCGCGGUACGCCUGAUAGGCUUGCACCUCUCGAGGCUGAUCCAAUCCUGCACAUGUAAGGACACCUGGACAGGAAUUCAUUGCAUCUGUUCACGUUCAAAUGUCCUUGACUGGAGAAAGAGUUCAUGGGCAGGCUGCUACCAGGCUUGCUGAGCACGAAGCCAGCCCGCUUUGCUCCUCAGUCGGAUAUUCGGAUGAGCAGCAAUAAAUGCAGCAGGCAAAGAGCUGCUUCACAGGAGCCUCAGAGGAAACCCCUUCUAUGGAUUAAAAUGUCACCCGAAAUCUGAGCCACAGAAAACCCUGAACCAGUCUGGAUCUUAGUAUUUUAUCUAAAAUCCAACUUCCUGAAAAAGCAAUAUGCCAGCUAAUUGGAGCUCUGAAUUUGAUUAAGCUGUGACACUCCACUCACAGGGCUCCUGCCUCGCCCGCCUUCCCUCAGGGCUGCAGGCAGGGCACACCACCAGCACCAGGACAUCUUGGCUGGCUUCAACAGACACAGAAACCCCCUUACCUACUCAGGAGUGCAAAGCCAUAAAUCUUCCAGUAUCUUAAACAGUGGUUAUUGGUGUGGGAUUUUUUUGAAAAUGUAAUUUUCUUUGAAACAAAUGAAAUGACUAAUUAUCUAACUAUGUUACAAGGGAGCAUAUAUUAGCAAGGCAAUAUUUAAUAUUUAAGGAUUAAGUUCUAUUAAUACAGUUCAUUUUUUAUCAAAAAUGUCAUGAAGACAGAGCAAAGAAUCAAAAAAUUAUUUUCAAUGAAAGUAUCAUCAGUAACUGAAAACUUAAUAUUCACCAGCAGUUGUGCAGCUCAUUAUUUUGUUUUCCUACUUCAUUCAUUUGUUCUACAAUAUUUUUGUAUUAGUUCACAUUGUAUAAAUGUCCCAGUAUAAUUUCUGUUUAUUUCACUGACUUAUGCAACUAAAAACGCAUACAUAUAUAUAUGAAUAUAUUCCUGAAUUAAAAACAUAUCUUUGCGCACUGAUGACUGAUGACAUAUAUCUGCUCCUCCAAAUAUUUAUUCUGCUGAUUAUCUAGUUUAUGACUGUUCAGGAUAGCCAAUUCAGCAAGUUAAAAAAACAAACCAAAUGAGCUUACUCACAGAAGCAGCUGACAUGGCAACUCAUAGAAGAUGGGAAACUUAUCUUUGAUUCCCUAAAUGUUCCUCAACAAGUUCUCCAUGCAUCUGUGGUUAACAGAGUAGGUCUGAUCCCAGACCAAAACCAAAGGGAAUCAGUGAGAUGUUUCUCUAGUGCUUUCAGGGAGGUACAGGAUUGCACACCCCAACACAGCUGUCAGUGCCUCCCCCAAACAAAUCAAUUUUUCCUAUAGACCAGGAAAGGAAGAAAAAAACCCUGUGGUGAUUUAUUUGGUCCUAAUGACAGAACAGCCCUCCUGAAAUUCAUGUUUGGGAGCACUGUACCAUGGGAAUUGUCAAAAACACAGCCACAGAAUUUUUUGCCUACAUUUAUACUGUAUUAUUAGUAUAUUAUACUAACAUAUAGUAUAUAUGUAUAUAUAUACUAUAUAUAGUAUAUUUAUACUAUAUUAUCCACAUUUUCUCUU